rnacentral:rRNA from 1 species
ACGGCUCAGUAACACGUAGUCAACCUGCCCUGGAGACAUGGACAACCCCGGGAAACUGGGAUUAAUCCGUGAUAGGUCAUCCCAUCUGGAAGGAGGGAUGGCUUAAAGGGGCGCGCGGGCUUCUUCUGCGCGUCCGCUCCAGGAUGGGACUGCGUCCGAUCAGGCUGUUGGCGGGGUAAUGGCCCACCAAACCUGUAACCGGUACGGGCCUUGAGAGAGGUGGCCCGGAGAUGGACACUGAGAGAAGGGUCCAGGUCCUACGGGGCGCAGCAGGCGCGAAACCUUCGCAAUGGGCGAAAGCGUGACGAGGUUAAUCCGAGUGGUCCCCGCUGAGGGGACCUUUUGUCAGCUGUAAAUAGGCGGGCGAAUAAGGGGAGGGCAAGCCUGGUGUCAGCCGCCGCGGUAAUACCAGCUCCUCGAGUGGUCGGGGCGAUUAUUGGGCCUAAAGCAUCCGUAGCCGGUUCCGUAGGUCCUCUGUUAAAUCCACCCGCUCAACGGGUGACCUGCAGAGGAUACCGCGGGACUAGGAGGCGGGAGAGGCGGACGGUACUCCGCGUGUAGGGGUAAAAUCCUUUGAUCCGCGGAAGA